rnacentral:rRNA from 2 species
GGUGGGGUGAUGGCCUACCAAGGCGACGACGGGUAGCCGGCCUGAGAGGGUGUCCGGCCACACUGGGACUGAGAUACGGCCCAGACUCCUACGGGAGGCAGCAGUGGGGAAUAUUGCACAAUGGGCGCAAGCCUGAUGCAGCGACGCCGCGUGGGGGAUGACGGCCUUCGGGUUGUAAACCUCUUUCAGUAGGGACGAAGCGCAAGUGACGGUACCUACAGAAGAAGCACCGGCCAACUACGUGCCAGCAGCCGCGGUAAUACGUAGGGUGCGAGCGUUGUCCGGAAUUACUGGGCGUAAAGGGCUCGUAGGUGGUUGCGUAAGUCGGAUGUGAAAACUCAGGGCUUAACUCUGAGACGCCAUCCGAUACUGCGCUGACUUGAGUCCGGUAGGGGAGCAUGGAAUUCCUGGUGUAGCGGUGGAAUGCGCAGAUAUCAGGAGGAACACCAAUGGCGAAGGCAGUGCUCUGGGCCGGAACUGACGCCGAGGAGCGAAAGCAUGGGGAGCAAACAGGAUUAGAUACCCUGGUAGUCCAUGCCGUAAACGUUGGGCACUAGGUGUGGGGUCUUCUAACGAAUUCCGUGCCGUAGCUAACGCAUUAAGUGCCCCGCCUG